GACUGCCCAGGAACAUCAGGAAGUGCAUUGGAAACUACAUGUUAUAGGUAUGAUGCUUUCCUCUCUAAAUUUGGAGAUUGAUUGAUUCAUUUGGAGACAAGAACAAUGUAAAUGUUUCUUAAUUUUUCAGAAAAUACACAGAACUGUAUGCACCCAUUAUAGUAGAGGAUUCAGAGACCUCCGGAGACAGUGAUGCUGUCACUCAUGAUAUUUCAGAGGAUCCAGAGAUAGAACAGAGACCCAUUUCAGAAGUGAUUGCAAACCUGGCACUCCAGAUUGAUCGCCACGCAGUCAGCAGAUUUCACAUUUGCCGCUCUGACAUCUGGGAUGGUGCCGUCAGAGGAUUCAAAAGAGGAACAUUCUCUGAAAAGAAGGACCUCCUAGUAAAGUUUUCUGAUGAUGCAGGCAUGUUUGAGGAAGGUAUUGAUACAGGUGGCCCAAAAAGAGAAUUCCUCUCACUCCUGAUGAAAA